UGCAGAAAUAAGUCUGCAAAGAUUUAGAACAAAAUAUUAACAGCAGUAAUUUCUGGAUGACAGAUAAUUUCUCUGUCUCCAUUUCAAAACAAUAAGCACACCUUAUUUUCAUAAGUAAUGUUAUUUCUAAAAAUAGAAGAUGGUACAUAAAAACUGGUACUAUUAAGCUAUUAUCUGAAUACCUGAGACUUGAAAAAAACCCCAAAUUGUAGAAAUUAUUACAAAAUAAAUCCAUUUGAGAACAGUGGUGACAAUAUAACAUUUUUAUUCCUUUCUUUUAGCAAAGACUGAAGGAAGAGAAAGAAGCCAAGCGGGCUCAUUUGGAUGGAAGACAUGACUACUUAUUCGCAAUUGUAGCUUCCUGUUUGGACCUGAACAAAAGUGAGGUGGAAGAUGCAGUUCUUGAAGGGAAUCAGAUUGAACGAAUUGAUCAACUUUUUGUUGCUGGAGGUCUCCGUCACCUUAUGUUUUAUUAUCAGGAUGUGGAAGUAGCAGAAACAGGACAACUUGGCUCUCCAGGAGGGGUAAAUCUUGUGUCUGGAAAGAUUAAGAAAGCUAAGGUGUUUGUGACUGAGGGAAAAGAUGUUGCUCUUACAGGAGUCUGUGUGUUUUUCAUUCGGACUGAUUCGUCCAAAGCCAUCACACCUGAGAACAUCCACCAGGAGGUGAGCUUUAACAUGUUAGAUACUGCAGAUGGGGGCCUGCUAAAUAGUGUGAGACAUUUGCUUUCGGAC
rnacentral:lncRNA from 1 species